GACAGGGUGGCCGAGUGGUUAUGGCGACAGGCUUAAGUUAAGGAUUGGCGUCUUUUGGACGCGGUCUGGAGUCCUGUUGUAGAGAUACAUCCUGGGUUCGAACCCCAGUCCUGUCA